rnacentral:rRNA from 1 species
UACGAAGGGGGCUAGCGUUGCUCGGAAUCACUGGGCGUAAAGGGUGCGUAGGCGGGUUUUAAGUCAGAGGUGAAAUCCUGGAGCUCAACUCCAGAACUGCCUUUGAUACUGGAAGUCUUGAGUAUGGGAGAGGUGAGUGGAACUGCGAGUGUAGAGGUGAAAUUCGUAGAUAUUCGCAAGAACACCAGUGGCGAAGGCGGCUCACUGGCCCAUUACUGACGCUGAGGCACGAAAGCGUGG